CAGUCGCCGCGGUAACACCGAGGGUGCGAGCGUUAAUCGGAUUUACUGGGCGUAAAGCGUGCGUAGGCGGCUUCUUAAGUCGGAUGUGAAAUCCCUGAGCUUAACUUAGGAAUUGCAUUCGAUACUGGGAAGCUAGAGUAUGGGAGAGGAUGGUAGAAUUCCAGGUGUAGCGGUGAAAUGCGUAGAGAUCUGGAGGAAUACCGAUGGCGAAGGCAGCCAUCUGGCCUAAUACUGACGCUGAGGUACGAAAGCAUGGGGAGCAAACAGGAUUAGAUACCCCUGUAGUCCCUGUCUCUUAUAC
rnacentral:rRNA from 1 species